UCACAGGUGCUGCAUGGCUGUCGUCAGCUCGUGCCGUGAGGUGUUAGGUUAAGUCCUGCAACGAGCGCAACCCUCGUCGCUAGUACUUUUCUCUAGCGAUACUGCCCGUAUAACGUGGAGGAAGGUGGGGAUGACGUCAAGUCAGCACGGCCCUUACAUCCUGGGCUGCACACACGCUACAAUGGGUGAUACAACAGGUUGCAAUAGAGCGAUCUGGAGCCAAUCCCUAAAAUCAUCCUCAGUACGGAUUGCAGGCUGCAACUGCCUGCAUGAAGUUGGAGUUGCUAGUAAACGCAGGUCAGCACACUGCGUUGAAUACGUUCUCGGGCCUU
rnacentral:rRNA from 1 species